CAGUCGCCGCGGUAAUACGAAGGGGGCUAGCGUUGCUCGGAAUGACUGGGCGUAAAGGGCGCGUAGGCGGCAUACACAGUCAGAUGUGAAAUUCCUGGGCUCAACCUGGGGACAGCAUUUGAUACGUGUAGGCUAGAGUGGGGAAGAGGGUUGUGGAAUUCCCAGUGUAGAGGUGAAAUUCGCAGAUAUUGGGAAGAACACCGGUGGCGAAGGCGGCAACCUGGUCCUUGACUGACGCUGAGGCGCGAAAGCGUGGGGAGCAAACAGGAUUAGAUACCCCCGUAGUCCCUGUCUCUUAUAC
rnacentral:rRNA from 1 species